CAAAGAGCUGGCAAGGAUCUAUGCUCACCCUGGAGUCUCCUACCCCUGAAGACUGUGAAGAUAUCCUGGAAUGAUUUGUGCUUCAGGGGUGACUGUAGGAAGCCAAACAGCUUCCCCAGCAGCUCUGAGACUCAGGGCAUUGUAUGGGCUCCUGACUUGUCCUGUAGAUGUACCCCUGCUGGUGUCUAGGUAGCUGGUACCUCACUAUUGACUGGCCCAGGCUGGAAAGCUGCUCUGUCCUCUGUCUUGAUGGCUGGUGAGGCCAAGUCCCAGUGAGCUGGGGAAAGUCAGGCUGUAUUUGCCUGCUCAAGUGGAGCCUGGCCCAGGCAGCAGGCGUUGAGCACCGCCAGCUUGACUGCCUAGUUCCCCUGCAGGGGAUGUAACCAGAAGACUUUCAGAGAGUCAGUACUGGGGACACUUGCCUCACUUCAAGCAGGUUGCUCAGCAGGGUGGAGUCGCUGCCCUUCCCAUCCACGGACACCGAGUGCUCGCCCUUCUUCACCAGCAGGCAGACGUGGUGGCCCUGGAUGGAGCGGCUGUACAUGGAGGCGCAGGAGUCCACUCGCUCCACCAUAGAAAAGUGGUGGUGAAAACAUAUCUUUGCCAGAAGGUUCUGGAAGGACAUACUGAUGCCAUCGACUCUGACUGAGCUCAUGCUCAGGUCCCCAGACCCCAGCAGCUUGGCAAAGGCAUCACUGUAGCAGGUUCUGUGUCUUACCCUGGCAGUUCUGUGGGUCUCACAGUCAUGCAGCCUGAAGGAAUCGAUCUAUCGUCCAUCUCAUUAUUUUUAUUGGCUUCAUGAUUUCUCCCAGUAGAGGUGCACCAUAAUUCUAGAGAACAAUGGUGAAGUGGAGCAUCUUCCAUAUUUUAAGAACCGUAUAUAUUUCCUUCUUUGUGGACUAUUAAUAUCUUUUGAUGAUGUCAGGGUUUGCAACGGAAUAGAUUUAAUACAGGACACAUAAUUUAUAGGAUUAUUUUAUAAUAUUUACCCAAAAAGUCAAAUGCAGAAGAGCGCAAGAGAUCUGUCCACAUGCUAGAGACCUGAAGAAUCCAGCAGAGGGCCUGGAUCCUGUAAUGUCCUCCACAAGUCCCUCUGGAGGCCCUGAGCCCGCAGCAGUCUCAUGCAAGUCUGUAUCAAGGACCUGCACCGGGAAGGUCCAAAGGCCGGUGGUGGAAGCUAGAAAGUCUGCACUGGCAGCGUGAAGGAUCUGCACUGGAGCCAGGAAGCGAGGCUCGAGGCAAAGAUCAGAGCUCCCUUGAAGAGAAGAAGCAAAGACCUGAGCUCCUCUAACAAGAACAGCUGAGUUCUUAUCAGGGAAACCAGCUAUGGCAAGCUUCUUCAGGAAAAUCAGCAGCAUACAAUCUUCCCUUCCAGUUCUCCUUUCAUGCCAUUGGGAACAAUCCUCAGGUGGGUCUUCAAUGCCCAGAACCAUGCUGACUCAGUUCAGCUGGGCGUUCCCACUUAAACAGACCAUUAGUUAAUCCAUCACAGCCUUCAUCCAUCUUCCUGUUGGGUUAGUCUAUAUUUACAGAACCGAAAGUAUUAAAUACAUUUUAAAUGACUUCUGACAUGAUGUCUUACUUAGAAAGGCCCACCUUUCUAAAAUACAAUAAUGCAAUCCUCCCUGAUUUGUGAUCUUUCUACUUGCAGCUUUUCAACUUUAUGAUGGUGCAAAAAUAAUAUGGACUCAUUAAUCAGACUUCAAUGUUUUUUUCUUUUUCC
ensembl:lncRNA